rnacentral:lncRNA from 12 species
GGGAAAUGCACUUUUAAUAGGUUUGUUUACUGACGAAAUAAAAGGCAGAUGGUCUCCUAUGGUUUCUGUUAGAAACUUCUUGGAGCUCCCUGAGGAAGGGGGAAGUUAUAAUUUAACCACAUUUGGAUGAAAGGCAAACAAUCGGCCUUAAAGAGCAAAGCCACCUCUCUGGGCCUCCUGCCUGUCUCUCCCAGGCAGGAGUGACUGCAGUGCUCCCCGGGAGGACUUUUCUGGGCCAGGGGCUCAGAGCCAGGGAAAGCCCUUCUUGGGCCCCGAAGCCACACCAGCCAGGGAAAGCUGGUGAGACGGGGCGGAGAAAGGCCCAUGAGACGAGCAAAGGUUACGGUAGUCACCAAGCUGACUUGAUUUUCAGAAAAAUGAAGAGGAAACCCACUAUUUUCCACAAGGGCCCUGCACUGCAGACAGUAGGCCACAGCAACAAGAUGGCCCAUUGAGCAAAAUGAGAAAUUUACAAGAAGUGAAAAAAUAAAAACUCAGAAAUGAGUUGCUCCCUUCUGAGA